GACGAACGCUGGCGGCGUGCUUAACACAUGCAAGUCGAACGGUAAGGCCCCAGCUUGCUGGGGUACACGAGUGGCGAACGGGUGAGUAACACGUGGGUGACCUGCCCCGCACUUCGGGAUAAGCCUGGGAAGCUGGGUCUAAUACCGGAUAGGACCGCACCGUGAGGGUGUGGUGGAAAGUUUUUCGGUGUGGGAUGGGCCCGCGGCCUAUCAGCUUGUUGGUGGGGUAAUGGCCUACCAAGGCGGCGACGGGUAGCCGGCCUGAGAGGGUGGACGGCCACAUUGGGACUGAGACACGGCCCAGACUCCUACGGGAGGCAGCAGUGGGGAAUAUUGCACAAUGGGCGGAAGCCUGAUGCAGCGACGCCGCGUGGGGGAUGACGGCCUUCGGGUUGUAAACUCCUUUCACCAUCGACGAAGGUUUUCUGACGGUAGAUGGAGAAGAAGCACCGGCUAACUACGUG
rnacentral:rRNA from 1 species